UACGUAGGGGGCAAGCGUUGUCCGGAAUCAUUGGGCGUAAAGAGCGUGUAGGUGGCUCGGUAAGUCCGCUGUGAAAGUCCAGGGCUCAACCCUGGAAAGCCGGUGGAAACUGUCGAGCUCGAGUCCGGAAGAGGCGAGUGGAAUUCCUGGUGUAGCGGUGAAAUGCGCAGAUAUCAGGAGGAACACCAAGUGGCGAAGGCAGCUCGCUGGGACGGUACUGACACUGAGACGCGAAAGCGUGGGGAGCAAACAGG
rnacentral:rRNA from 1 species